GCCCCGAUAGCUCAUCUGGAUAGAGCGUAGGCUUCCUAAGCUUAAGGCGACAGGUUCGAGUCCUGUUCGGGGCACCA
rnacentral:tRNA from 1 species